rnacentral:rRNA from 1 species
GAGUUUGAUCAUGGCUCAGGAUGAACACUAGCGGCAGGCCUAACACAUACAAGUCGAGGGGUAACAGGGUAGCAAUAUCGCUGACGACCGGCGCACGGGUGAGUAACGCGUAUGCAACCUUCCUUUAACUGGGGGAUAGCCUGGAGAAAUUCGGAUUAAUACCCCAUAACAUCAUGAGAAGGCAUCUUUUUAUGAUUAAAGCUCCGGCGGUUAAAGAUGGGCAUGCGUGCCAUUAGCUUGUUGGUGAGGUAACGGCUCACCAAGGCUUCGAUGGUUAGGGGGUCUGAGAGGAUGAUCCCCCACACUGGUACUGAGACACGGACCAGACUCCUACGGGAGGCAGCAGUGAGGAAUAUUGGGCAAUGGGCGCAAGCCUGACCCAGCCAUGCCGCGUGAAGGAUGAAUGCCCUAUGGGUUGUAAACUUCUUUUGUACGGGACGAAACUCCUGGUCGUGACCGGGAUUGACUGUACCGUGCGAAUAAGCAUCGGCUAACUCCGUGCCAGCAGCCGCGGUAAUACGGAGGAUGCAAGCGUUAUCCGGAUUCAUUGGGUU